rnacentral:rRNA from 1 species
AUGGACCUGGACGGCUUCCCGCUUGACCACGAGUUUCCGGAUGACUACGGGCAAGAGGAAGAGGACGAGUGCGACAUCGAAGUGAAGCCUUUGUUCGAGGACGAGCUCGCCAACCAAGCCAGCAGGCCGAAGCCGAAGCGCAAGAGCAAGCGGACGAAGGCAUACACGGCGGCCGAGGACAAGCUUCUUUGCGAGUGUUGGCGAGACAUUGGACAAGACCCCAAGACCAGCGGCGAACAAAAGCAUUCAACUUUUUGGAUUCGUGUUCACCGAGAGUUUCAUGAGCGCAAGAAGUUUCCGCCUUACCAAAUUAUGAGCACGCGCUGGUGGGUGUCCAUUUCGAAGCGAUGA